GGGACGCGGGGAGCGGGCGGGCCGGGGGGCUGCGGGCUCCUCGGGCUGGGGCUGUCCCUGCCGUGCUCCGGAGCGGCCGGGCGUCCCGCAGCUCCCCGUGCUGUCCCGGCUGCUCCGAGCUUUUGUUUGUUUUAUUUUUGUUUUUUUUUUUUUUUUUAAAAAGUCUCUCGCGUAGUCGGUUCCGGUCUGCAGCAUUCUGUAGAAUGCGUUUCUCUCGUUCUCAUUGAGAGGGGAGAGAAUGGCUCCGGAGCGGAAAUGUUGAAUCUCGUGUUUCAGAGAGAAAUCGAAGUUGUUCUGUGACGGUUACUGUAGGUAAUACAUCUGAGUGAGUUCAUUCAGCAUCCUUGAGCUUGUAGCUUUGGCUUGCUGUCUCUGUGCUUGGAUUGGUAAAUCCCAGUAUAUCGAGGUGUUGUAGAACUGCUCGUGUGCAUGUUUCGCCAAUUUGUGUGCAGACUUUCCAGGUGCAAGCAGUAUGAGCGCUUCCGAUUUACGUUGGGUAGGGUAGCACACGGAGCGUUGCAGUGUGCGGGCAGGAGGGCACAGCAGUGCGGUGUUGGUGUGCAGUGAGCUCCUGCGGGUAUCUGGUGAGGUGCUGCACGUAGAAGCGCAUCUGCACUUCUUCUUCAAUGUUGCCUCGCUGUUUAUUUGGCUAAUUGAGCCUCCUGAGAGAUCUGUUCCCUGUCUAAGAGGUGAUGUGUACACUUCUUAGCUGUGCCCUAUGCCAGUUAAACCUCACAGAUGCUGUUUUAAACUUUAGCUUACCUUGGGUGUACUCUGCUGAGAGUUGGCUUCUAAAGCUGUGUCCUGUUUGUGUGAGUUCUGAGAAAUCAUAGCGAGUCUGGGGCAGUUUCUAGGGCAGUGCAGAAACACUUGAGAUGGUCUGGUCCCAGCAGAUAAGAAAUCCUCUGUAGUUACAGAAGGAUUAGUAGAAAUCUGAAGUAUUCAGGAAGGGAAGAAAAUCAUGUGGGUUAUAAAUUCUCUGACUCUUAGCACCAUCAUCUCUGUCAACCAGGGAAGUACAAUAUGCUGUGUCUUUUAAUGCGACUGUAACUAGAUCCGUGGCUUUCAAAGAAAAUGAAGAAUUAGUGUCAAAACACAGAACAGGCUGGUGUCUCAUCAUGAUAUUAAAUGUUAGGCUGGGUAUCAGGCUCGGGAAGUUCAGUGUACAUCACGUAAGUGCUGAAGCACUGACUCUGUCCAUGCUGGCCUGUCCCACAGCAGCAAUGACAGAGCAGCUGUGGAAUUUUUCCCUUUACAUGGGCAGUACUGCUUACUUGUUAAGUACCUGCACUCACAAGUUACUGUUCUGAGUGUGUGUGUGGGUUAAAGCCCUUCUGCCCCCCACAAAUUAUCUCUCGUAAAUGAACACAAAAUGUUCACAAAUAAUGGAGAAAGUUACAUGGCAACUGCUCAUCUCCUUGCUGUAUCACUACAAUGAGCUCUAGGUAGCCUAUCAUAAAGUAUCUGGCAGCUUUAAUUGUAACUGUCCUUCAGAAAUACUGUAGCACAUCUCAGCAGUUCUGCAUGUCCUGUUACUAUUAGCAGAUGUGGCCUAGUAGAGGAGUAAAUUACCCGGCAUCAAGAAACUUUUCUUCUGUCACUGUGAAUGUAACUUUCUCUAGCAGGAGGGAGUUCUUUGUACUUGAGUGGCAGUGAACAUGUUACAUGUUAAAUAUUAAGUCGGUGCAUGGAGUUGUUGCUGAGACAUUCAUUAACAGGCAGACUGAAGGACAUAAUAUGCAGAGUUCUUCUGUUCUGUUCUGAAGCAGAGUAGUUAUGCUUUCCCAUAAGAGCAAGUACUCAUUAAAUGGUACUUGCUCCGAAGUCCCCCUGUCAAUCUCCUUGGUAUUACAGUCUCUCUCUAAACAGACCUUCUAUUUAUGCUGGAAGACACGCACAAGCUUUAGAAUGAACCUGAAAAGUGAUUUUGACUCUACUGUGAAGUUGUAAACAUCACCCUUUUAUUUACUCUUUCAAGCAUUCUACUUGUCACAGGAGCAGAUAACCUUUUUGCUAAAAGCUGUGACACUUUAAGCUGUCUUUUUAUAACACUAUAAGGGAGUUAGGCUACUGGGGAAUGCAGCUUUGGCAUAAAACACUUCAGACUUUUUAUUCCUUCUCUGUACUGACUGUAUAUUGAUUUGGUUUAUAUAAGAAGAUCAUAGCAGUGAGGUCAGCUCUAUUAUGAUUUCUUGUUGUUCUAGUGUAACAUCUGAUUUGGGCAGAAAUCCACAAUGGUAAUAUGCACCUCUUUUCAUUAACAACAUUUUUUAAAAUACUGAAACAGUUUAAGUGAAGUUUGUUCGUGUCUGAAAUUGGUGUGGCUAACUUACUGCAUUCCUGACCACAGAAUGAGUUGUACUGCCAUAGUUCCUUUUUAAAGAAACAAGCAGGAAGUGCUCUGGUUUGUCUGCUCUGUAUACAGUGACGUAUGACGUGCAUGAAAAUGCAACGUUCCAAUUUCAAAAUGAGUGUGCAAAUACAGCAGAUGUGUCAGUUCAGCUGCAGGAAAACCAGUGAAGGUAUCUGUGCUGUGUUUUCUGCAAUUCCUCUUUGGCGCCUGCUAGAGACAGUAAAAACACACUGCGAAACCUGAGUUCUGACUACGUACGUAUGGAGAUCUGAGUGUUUUGUUUUGUUUGAGGUCAGAGUGAAGGUGGUGAUGCAGCUGUGCCAGAGCAUAUCCUGGAGCGUGGAGGUGGAAGUGAGCAGCUGGGGUGGGGUGGUGCUGGGAAGGCUGCUGUUAGCUUUUUCUGCCUUCCAGUAUCUGUGAAAUUUGGCUCCAGUUUGUUUAAAAUAGAAAUUAUACAUUGCCACGUAAUUGCCCUUCAAACAAGCUUUCAAAGCUUGUACUUAGCAGUGAUGAUAAGAGAAUGGAUCUGCUAUGAGCUCUGGAGUUCCUAAUGCUAAUAUUGGUGUUCUCAGAGAGCUCUUUUGAAAACCCAAGGGUCAUCUUAUUUUACUUUGUUGGCUCUGUUCUCACUUAAAACUCUGAAAUUACAGCUCAUUCUUCUGCUUGAGGCAUAGUGGACAGAAACCCUUUAAGGAGGGCUUCAUUACUUGUCUCUGGGUGACUGGGAAAAGGCUGUUAAAUGGUACAUUGUUUUCUGUUGCUUCCGUCCCUUUUCAUCUUUAACUUAGCCUCUGCAUAUUGCCUCAAAUGCUUCCUAGUUCCUGUCUGAUCAGAACUUGAAAACCCUGCUCUGUGGUGAAUCUCAUUGUUGAGUUUUUUCCCUGUAAGAUAAGCUUGAGGGUUCUGUGGGGUUUGGGGUACUUAGUGUUUCAUUUGUUUGGUUUUUGAAAGAUCUGUUGUGUUAGAUCUUGACUGAAAAAUGUCCUAAAGCCUACCCGGUAUCUGUAAUGCUUAAGAAUCAUCUUUAAAUUGGUAUUUUUUUUACCUUUUGUCUGGGGUCUGAAAGAACUUUUGAAUUGUUUUAAUAAGAGGUAUUAUUUUUUGCAGAAACAUUUUCUCAUUUUUCAGUGCUGCUUAGCAUCUGACAAUGAUGGACUUCAAGGUGUUUGCAAAAUGUCUUUUCCUCCUUUUUCUAUGAACUUAAAGUGUCAUUGAGCAUUCCCACUUCUUUGCUAUGAGGUGAAAUAGGAAUAGCAGUAUGAGUAUGAGGUGAAACUGUAAUUACCACGUUUCGUACUAUCUCAGAAUAUCUUUUGUGAAGUGUGAACUGUUUGUAUAAUUCAUGGAUAUUUCUCAUCUGUUUUGUCCUAAUAUUCUAGAUGGUAAUGGAAUGGCCACUGUUGCACCAGGGGACUUCAGUUCUUUCCUAGUGUGUCACCCAUGUUUUGUACAGCCUUUAUUACUGACAUUCUCUUGUUGAUGCCUGACCCACCUGCCUCUUAACAUACUGGGGUCAUUGCGGAAGAUGGCACUGGAGCACUGGAGAGGUGCAUUGUCUCCUAGACUGGACUGACAUCAGACCAAAUCUGAUGUCUUGUUUUCUGAGCUCUUUUCAUCCUUUUUUGAACAUCCUGUCAUCUUUCUUUUGAGCAAACUGAACUGAUCCUUUGCUCAGCUGUCAGCAGUGAUGAUGAGGGCCCUUUGUGAGCUGUUAGUUAAAGCUCAAAGGAAUGCAACUAAUAUUCCUCAUUUUAACCACAAAUAUGCAUUGCAUCUCACUAGUCAUUUCUGUCAAAUACACUAUUACACCCUGAGGACUUUUUUGAAUAUCCUAUAUGACCAUCCUGCUUGCAUCUGCAAAAUUGUUCCUCUUGGAUACUGAAAGGAAUUGGAAGUACUGAAGGAAAUAAAUAAAAAUUGUGAAAAUACCAUUUUGAGAAAUGAAUUUGUUGGGUUUUAAAACAAAUUAUUAGUGUUACCUCCCAUUCUGCUACAGUAAAUGCAUACAGAAUUUUGUUUUCAUAGUUCUUUAAACAUGAAACUUCAUAAGCUACUGAAUAAUACAGUCUCCCCAUUACCUUCAGGUAACAUUUGUCUGAAUCUGAAGAGUCUUAUAAAAUGCAAAUAUCUGCAGUGUGUGAUGAUUCGUGCCGUGACCUCCCAUUUGUGGUUCAUAUAGAGUUUACUGACCUUGUCAGAUUAAUACGCUGUUGCAGGCAAGUGUCUUGGCCAUGACAAUAAACAAACAAUAUUCUAAUUGCUUUGAAUCAUGACAGAGUAAUUUCUGUUCACUAAAUGUGUACUUCGAAAACUCAUUUGUAGUCAGGGACAAUUCUAUCAAUGUAUUACACUAUUCUUUUGUAAUUUCUUCUUGUUUUUAGACUGCUGAGUUGUAGAGUCUGAUACUAGUAUUCAAUUUUUUCUCUUGUUGCAAGUUAAGUUUGCCACCAGAUAUGUAAUCAGAAUUGUAAAUGUUCCUGUAAAAUACAUUUGAAAUGUUUUUUCACUAAAGUAAAUAUCGAUACAGAUGCCUAGCCCAUGACUAAGGAUUUGUUUGCUUGAUCUGUGAAAAUACUGCAGUUGUGAUUAGCAUGGAAAUUCACUGACAUAGUGUUAAUGUGUUCUUAAAAAUUUGGGAAGUAUACCUGCCGUCUUAAAGAUCUGUAGUUCUUGCUAAUUAUGCAAAUUUAUUGAUAGAAAUAAAAUGUGUGGUGGUUCCUA